UACGGGGGCAAGCGUUGUUCGGAAUUACUGGGCGUAAAGGCUCGUAGGCGGCCAACUAAGUCGGAUGUGAAAUCCCCAGGCUUAACCUGGGAACUGCAUCCGAUACUGGAUGGCUUGAAUCCGGGAGAGGGAUGCAGAAUUCCUGGUGUAGCGGUGAAAUGCGCAGAUAUCAGGAGGAACACCGGUGGCGAAGGCGGGUCUCUGGGCCGAUACUGACGCUGGAGGAGCGAAAGCGUGGGGAGCGAACAGG
rnacentral:rRNA from 1 species